CAGGAAACUAUAUUCAAUAUCCAAUGAACUAAAAUGGAAAAGAAUAUAAAAAAGAAUGUAUAUGUAUGUAUAACUGAAUCACUUUGGUGUACAGCAGAAAUUAACACAACAGUGUAAAUCAUCUGUCCUUCAAUUAAAAAAAAAAGAAAAAAUCUGUUUACAUUACUAAUAUUUUAACAUUCUUCUCUUGAUUAAAUAUAAUUGCCUUUUAAAAGUUGCCUGUUCUUGAUUAAAUUUUUAAAACUUUUAAUUGAAAUAUAAUGCAUAUCUUGAAAGGACAUAAAGUGUAUUACUUGAUGAAUUAAAGUAAGUUGAAUACAUUCAUGCAACCCCCUAGCUCAAAACACAGAAUAUUACUAGCAUCUCCAGAACCACCCCUUCCCCCCCAUUAUGCAUCCAUGCAAUACAUACAGGUCUUACCAAUGAAAGGUAAUCAUUUUUUUCCAAAGGUAACUACUAUCCUGGUUCUUAACACCACAGACUGUGUUGCCUGUUUUUGACAUUCUUAAAAAUAAAAACAUAUAAUAUAUAUUCUUUUUUUGUCUGGAACCCUUUGCCUAACAUUAUAUUUUUGAGAUUCAAGUGUAUUGGUGCAUACAGCUAUAGAUUUUUCAGAUGUAUUACUGUAUGGUAUUCAGUUGUAUGCAGAGAACAUGGUUUAUUUAUUCAUUAUAAUGUUGAAAUGAAUUUAGUUUGCUUGAACUUCAAGAUUAGUGUAGUUAAAGGUAUAACUUUUUUAUCAGUCUUUUUGAGAUCCAGUUCUUGGAUUUGUUAAUAUAUAAUUUGUUUAGUCUACUGGUUUUAUGCUAAGAUCUUCUCUUAUCUUUAGUAAUUCAUUUUUUUCUUCUUCCUUGCAAUUCUUCUCCCUAAACUUAGGUUAAGCACUUAAUUCAUUUGCUUUCAUUUGAUGAAGUUUUGUAUGCUUGUCUCAAGUGUGCUUUUUUUGUGAGAUAAAUUCUAAUUCUGUCAGCAGGCAAAGCUUGGGUUUAUUUUUCUGAAUACGACUAGAUUGUUUUUAAAUAUUAGUUUAUGGUGUUGUGAAUUUUCAUCUUUUUCUUUCUUCAUAUUCAUUUUAAUGAGGGGUUUGGAGAGGUUCCACAAUUGCUACCACCAAACAUCCAUGAAGUGUUCAGUACAGAUUUUGCUGUACUGAAAAUUUGCUGGCUGCAUCCAUCCUCCUGUUCAUCUAUCCGUGCAUCCUCCUACCCAUCUUCCCAUCCAUCUAUGCAUCCUCUAACCUAUCCUCCCAUCUAUCUUUUCAUCCAUCCAAGCAUCCUCCUACAUAUUCUUCUAUCCAUCCUCCAGCCAUUCUCCCAUUCAUGCAUUCAUCCAUCAUCCGUCCAUCUAUCCAUCCAUCCAUCAUUAUUAUUUAUGAGGAACAGCACAAGGUGCUGGAAGAACUUAGGUGAACAAGGUAGGUUUUCUUAAGGAUAAGAAGUAGCCACUGAAGGAAUUAAGUAGGGACUGACAAGGCCAAUGUACAUUUUAGAGACACAAUUCUGACUGUAAUAUGGAGGACGAAUUUAAGUUGAGUGAAUUAGAGUUUAGAAUCAGGUUUUCAGAGGAGUGGGUGACUUUCAGGUGCUUGCUGCUCAUUAGGAGUUGCUGGGAUACUGCAGUCCCAUAUCCCAGCCCAGAAGGGGACGCCUUCAAUUACAUUAAGGCUUCAUCAUGCACAAGACCUGAAUUUUUGGCAUGCAACUUGAAAACUGUGUUCUCAAAGAUGAGGCCUCCAAUUUUUUUUAAAAAAAAAUUCUUAUUCUGGCCUUUAAUAAAAAUCAUUAGAAAUCAUUACUAUUCUAACUAGAGGCAAGUAAUGAAGUUUUGAAAUUUCCAGGAUUGCUUUAAGCUUAAUCUGAGCAUUAAACUAUUUAUUGCCUUUUUUCUGUGACAUUUUAAAUACUAAUGGAGGAUUCAUAACUCUUUUUUAGAAUCCAAAUUAUAUUUUAUAGGAAAUAAUUUAAAGUCUUUGAGCCAGUUAGCUCCUCCAAAGUGUAAAGAGUUUUAUCUAGAUAAUUCAAAGCCAGUUUAAAAAAAAAAGGAACUAUGAUGUAAUAGGGCUAAUUCCAGUAAGCCAUCCAGGAAGAUUAAUCUUAUUAAUUUAAUGCUAUAUCAUAUAACUUAAUCUUUAAAAACAUCUUUUGGAAAUAAAGACACCAAACACACGACCCCUGGUCAAAGCUGGAACAUUUGGCAGUGAUUUGAGAGGGGAUUAGGGGACACAUAAUUUGAAUAGCUGUCCUGGCGUGUAUGCUGGAUUAAGGAGCAAUAUGGUGUUUAGGUUUCUGAAACUGCAUGUUCUAUAGACUUGUACUGAUACCCGGACCCAUGAGAAGUAAAAGAAGCUGCCUGUGUGCUGUACAAGGUUAAGAAAAUGACAGAAGUGACUUAAUUUUAUUAUCAUUAUUAUUAUUUUUGUCUUGUCUUUUUAGGGCCACACCCAUGGCAUAUGGAGCUUCCCAGGCUAGGGGUCCAAUCAGAGCUAUAGCCGCCGGCCCACACGCCAGAGCCACAGCAAUGCAGGAUCCGAGCAGUGUCUGUGACCUACACCACAGCUCACGGCAACACCGGAUCCUUAACCCACUGAGUGAGGCCAGAGAUCCAACCCACAACCUCAUUGUUCCUAGUCGGAUUUGUUUCCACUGUGCCAUGAGGGGAACUCCAGAAGUGACUUGAAAGUGGAGUUGGUGAUUCAGCAAAGCUUUGAGUCAGUCCUUACCACAGGUCUGGUACGGCUGUUGCAAGCCCUGGGCUAUUAAAAGGGGUUAGAUUGAACUGAAGGGGAAAGGGAGGAGGAGGGAUAUACUAGGAGUUUAGUAUAUACACACCCCUAUAUGUAAAAUAGGUAAACAACAAGGACCUACUGUAUAGCACAGGGAACUAUAUUCAAUUAAUAUCUUGUAAUAACCUAUAAUGGAAAAGAAUCUGAAAAAGAAUAUAUACAUAUAUGUAUAAAUUUACUAUACAUCUGAAACUAACACAACAUUGUAAAUGUACUAUAUUUUAAUGAAAAUCUUUUUAAAAGGGGGGAGCUUGAUUAUAAGCAUGGGUAUCCUUGGUCUUAGUUCUGGAUUUCCUUUUCUGUAUAUUAUUUCCACAGAGUUAACUGAAAUGAGCUAUGAAGGUUGGUAUUUGUAAACCCAAGCAACCCUAGUUUUCCCUCCCUCACUGGCUAACACAUUUAGUUGCCAUAUUGUUAAAUUGUUUUCUCACCUUGAUUAAGAAGAGAAUGGUGGUCACUAGCUGGAAACAUGCAUAGAUAUUGCUCUUGGAGUGAGACCGGUGAGGUGGGGGUAAGGGAAGAAUGGGGACAUGGGAGGCAGAGGGAAAGAAAGGGGAAGAAAAAUGGUCAGCUAACUUAAAUACAUCUAAAAAGCUAUUUGUGUUCCUUAGGUGAAGUCUAUUAAAACAAAGGAAGGGAUUGUUACCCAGCAUCUUGUCGAGCAAGUAUGAUAAUCGGAAAAAAGUAAGUGAUUUAUUAGUCUGCGCUUUUAUAAUCAGAGUUCAAAAAGCUUAUCCUUUUCUACAAUAUGUGGUCUUAAUAAGAAUUAUAAGUCAGACAGUGAAAGACAAACAUAUGAUAUCACUUAUAUGUGGAAUCUUAAAAAAAAAAUAAGCAUACAAAUGAACUUAACUGUAGAACAAAAACAGACUCACAGACUUUGAAAACAAAUUUAUGGUUUCCAAAGGGGACGUGUGUGCUGGGGAAGAAUGGACUGGGGAUUGGGACUGGCAUAUGCACUGUGGAAUGUGGAAUGACUAUCCAGUGGGGACCUGCUAUAUAGCACAGGCUUGUCUACCCAAUAUUCUGUGAUAAUCUAUAUGAGAAAAGAAUCUGGAAAAGAAUGGAUGUGUAUAUGUAUAACUGAAUCACUAUGUUGUACAGCAGAUAUUAUCACAAUAUUGUAAAUCAACUACAAUAAAAAUUUUAAAAAUGAAAAAAAGAACUAUAAGUCAGAUGAAUUGUUCACUGCUUUUCCAAAGGUCAUGAAGAAAUUAUAAAAUCAAGACAAAAAGCACUGGCAAAUUACAGUCAUUAGCAGAAGGAGAAUAUUGGAGUUCUCAGAGUAAUUUAUAACACCCCAGCAAGGGGAUUUUUAUCAUCUUUUAGAUUGCUGAGUUCCAAUAUGUUCCAGUAGAGGGGGGUAGAGGGUCAACUCAUUUGACUUGGGCUCAAAAAAUCCAACUUAAAAACAAGUUAAAAUAAAAAAUUGUAGGAGUUCCUGUUGUGGCUCAGUGGGUUACGAACGUGACUAGUAUCCAUGAGGAUGCAGGUUCAACCCCUGGCCUCGCUCAGUGGGUUAAGGAUCCAGAGUUUCUGUGAGCUGUGUUGUGGGUUGCAGAUGCAGCUUGGAUCCAGAGUUGCUGUGGCUGUGGCUGUGGCAGGCAGAUACAGAUCUGAUUUGACCCCUAGCCUGGAAAUUUCCAUAUGCCCCAGGUACAGCCC
rnacentral:lncRNA from 1 species